GACGAACGCUGGCGGCGUGCUUAACACAUGCAAGUCGAACGAAGAGCGAUGGAAGCUUGCUUCUAUCAAUCUUAGUGGCGAACGGGUGAGUAACGCGUAAUCAACCUGCCCUUCAGAGGGGGACAACAGUUGGAAACGACUGCUAAUACCGCAUACGAUCUAAUCUCGGCAUCGAGGAUAGAUUAAAGGUGGCCUCUACAUGUAAGCUAUCACUGAAGGAGGGGAUUGCGUCUGAUUAGCUAGUUGGAGGGGUAACGGCCCACCAAGGCGAUGAUCAGUAGCCGGUCUGAGAGGAUGAACGGCCACAUUGGGACUGAGACACGGCCCAGACUCCUACGGGAGGCAGCAGUGGGGAAUCUUCCGCAAUGGACGAAAGUCUGACGGAGCAACGCCGCGUGAGUGAUGACGGCCUUCGGGUUGUAAAGCUCUGUUAAUCGGGACGAAAGGCCUUCUUGCGAAUAGUGAGAAGGAUUGACGGUACCGGAAUAGAAAGCCACGGCUAACUACGUG
rnacentral:rRNA from 1 species